GGAUACAAUACGGGACUGUACGGGAACAAUGUUGGCGGCGGACAACAUGUCGCGUAUGGGCAUUCAGGAUACAACAGCCUUAGCAUUGAAAGUGGUUACGACAGCAAUUACCUAGGAUGGCGAGAAGGACAAAAGUCCAACGGCACUGCGGUCGCUGAUGCGGCUGCCAUCGAAGCCUCUGCUCUUUCCGUCGAUUCCAGUCCAGCCAGUGUGGCGAAAUUGAUUUCACCAACCAACAGCAAUAAAACGCUGGCAUUUCAUGUUCAAUCUGUUUUGAUUCGAAACAACACGAAAUUUUGCCUUCCAUUAUUCGUGUAGAAAACGGAAGAGGUUGGUGGCUAAUGGCGCUGGGCGCCUUGUUCAACGAACCAACGAGAUCUCCAUAAACUAUACGUAUUAUCCUGUCCACUUAAACGGUUGUUGAAUUACUCACUGUGUUACAUCGAUUUCUGCGAUUGCUUUUUGCCAAUAAAAUUUCCCAAGUCGAAGACGAAAA